ACUACGGGAGGCAGCAGUGGGGAAUAUUGCACAAUGGGGGAAACCCUGAUGCAGCGACGCCGCGUGAGUGAAGAAGUAUUUCGGUAUGUAAAGCUCUAUCAGCAGGAACGAGACAAGACGGUACCUGACUAAGAAGCCCCGGCUAACUACGUGCCAGCAGCCGCGGUAAUACGUAGGGGGCAAGCGUUAUCCGGAAUCACUGGGUGUAAAGGGAGCGUAGACGGCUGAGCAAGCCUGAAGUGAACGGCGGGGGCCCAACCCCUGGACUGCUUUGGGAACUGUACGGCUGGAGUGCAGGAGAGGUAAGUGGAAUUCCUGGUGUAGCGGUGAAAUGCGUAGAUAUUAGGAGGAACACCAGUGGCGAAGGCGGCUUACUGGACUGUAACUGACGUUGAGGCUCGAAAGCGUGGGGAGCAAAGAGGAUUAGAUACCCGGGUAGUC
rnacentral:rRNA from 1 species